rnacentral:rRNA from 1 species
UACGUAGGGUGCGAGCGUUAAUCGGAAUUACUGGGCGUAAAGCGUGCGCAGGCGGUUAUAUAAGACAGAUGUGAAAUCCCCGGGCUCAACCUGGGAACUGCAUUUGUGACUGCAAGGCUAGAGUACGGCAGAGGGGGAUGGAAUUCCGCGUGUAGCAGUGAAAUGCGUAGAUAUGCGGAGGAACACCGAUGGCGAAGGCAGCCCCUGGGCUACACUGACGCUCAUGCACGAAAGCGUGGGGAGCAAACAGGAUUAGAAACCCCGUG